UCAUCCCUGGGCAAGUGAAAGCAGGCUGAGCAAGCAGUGAAGCCAGCCAGCAAGCAGCUCUUCUCCAUGGCUUCUCUUAGUUCUCGCCUCCGGUUCCCACCCUAAUUUCCCUCAGCGAUGGACAGUUAGAUACUGGCAGCUAUAAGGUGCGAUAACUUUUCCUCCUCAUGUCUGUUUUAGUCAUGGUGUCUUAUCACAGCAGACAGAAAGUCUUUCCAAUAUUUGCUCCGAAGCCCCAGCUCGAGUAGAGCAGCAGCAAUAAAUUGAGGCAUUCUGGUGUGAGGCCUGGGAGUGCGGUGGUGAAAGUAACUCUUCCAGCCUCUCCAGCUGAUGGGCCAGCUUCAUUCUGCCCUGAGGGGCCCAUGGAGGCUCGAGAACUAACAAGUCCCUUAGUACACGGUGAAUGCUCUCCAUCCACCUGGUUCUAAUUCUUAGUCCCGAUUCUGCCUCUAGGACACCGAGUCCUGGUGUCUGUGCAAAAGAGUUGCCUGCUCCAGAUGGAUGGGUACAUUGAGUGCUCAGCUCAUUUCACCCUUGGGGCUUCCUGUGAAGCAAAGUGGAUUAAAGAGUCGUCCCCCCCCCCACCUCCCACAGUUACUCCUAAACCCCAUACCUGCAAGCAUGAUCCUAUUUAGUGUCCACAGAGGCCAUUAAGGAUCUGAAGAUGUGAUCAUCUUACAACGAGGACAGUCUGUAAUCUACUGCCAGGGUCUAAAUGAGAAAGGAAAGAAGCUCUAAGCCAGACACAGGGAGAAGGCCACCUGAGACCCAAGAAGACCAGAGACGUGUACCAUAAGGAGGAGCCACCUGGAGCUGCAGAAGUGAGGGAGGCUCCUGCAGCCUGUGCCCCUCCCUCACAUCCUUGGUCCUCAGAGCCCUUACAGCUAGAGGGGUCCUAUUCUGGAUAGCUCAAGCCCCAUCAAGCAACUUUGACACCCCUCUGCAACUAACCGGCUGUCUAGCCCAGCCCAGGCCAGCUAAGGUCACUCUGCAUUCUGUAAAGAAAAGACCUGCAGCCCAACGUGAUAGUGUACCAGUUUGUUUCUCUGUUGAUGCAAUAAAACAUUGAUCAAAAGCAA
ensembl:lincRNA Gm29483 predicted gene 29483